rnacentral:rRNA from 1 species
GACGAACGCUGGCGGCGUGCUUAACACAUGCAAGUCGAACGGAAAGGCCCUGCUUUUGUGGGGUGCUUGAGUGGCGAACGGGUGAGUAACACGUGAGUAACCUGCCCUUGACUUUGGGAUAACUUCAGGAAACUGGGGCUAAUACCGGAUAGGAGCUCCUGCUGCAUGGUGGGGGUUGGAAAGUUUCGGCGGUUGGGGAUGGACUCGCGGCUUAUCAGCUUGUUGGUGGGGUAGUGGCUUACCAAGGCUUUGACGGGUAGCCGGCCUGAGAGGGUGACCGGCCACAUUGGGACUGAGAUACGGCCCAGACUCCUACGGGAGGCAGCAGUGGGGAAUAUUGCACAAUGGGCGGAAGCCUGAUGCAGCAACGCCGCGUGCGGGAUGACGGCCUUCGGGUUGUAAACCGCUUUCGCCUGUGACGAAGCGUGAGUGACGGUAAUGGGUAAAGAAGCACCGGCUAACUACGU